ACUCCUACGGGAGGCAGCAGUGGGGAAUAUUGGACAAUGGGGGAACCCUGAUCCAGCAAUGCCGCGUGUGUGAAGAAGGCCUGAGGGUUGUAAAGCACUUUCAACUGUGAGGAUUGGGAUUUUGGUUAAUACCCCGAGAUCCUUGUACGGUUAGCAGUAGAAGAAGCACCGGCUAACUCCGUGCCAGCAGCCGCGGUAAUACGGAGGGUGCAAGCGUUAAUCGGAAUUACUGGGCGUAAAGCGUCUGUAGGCGGCUUAUUAAGUCGGAUGUGAAAUCCCAGGGCUUAACCUUGGAACUGCAUUCGAC
rnacentral:rRNA from 1 species